GGAGGAUGCAAGCGUUAUCCGGAUUUAUUGGGUUUAAAGGGUACGUAGGCGGAAAUUAAGUCAGUAGUGAAAUCCUGCAGCUUAACUGUAGAACUGUUAUUGAUACUGGUUUUCUUGAAUAUAGUUGAGGUAGGCGGAAUGUGUAAUGUAGCGGUGAAAUGCUUAGAUAUUACACAGAACACCGAUUGCGAAGGCAGCUUACUAAGCUAUGAUUGACGCUGAGGUACGAAAGCGUGGGGGAGCGAACAGGAUUAGAUACCCUGGUAGUCCACGCCGUAAACGAUGAUCACUCGUUGUUGGCAAUACAUCGUCAGCGACUGAGCGAAAGCAUUAAGUGAUCCACCUGGGGAGUACGCUCGCAAGAGUG
rnacentral:rRNA from 1 species